CGGCAUUGGCAGAGCUGAAGGCGAGUCACACCGCGAUUUCCAGCGACCUGGAGAAGAGUCAGACAGCAUUGGCAGAGCUGAAGGCAGGUCAGACGGCAUUGGCAGAGCUGAAGGCAGGUCAGGAGGCAGGUCAGACCGCAUUGGCAGAGAUGAAGGCAAGUCAGGAGGCAGGUCAGACCGCAUUGGCAGAGCUGAAGGCAGGUCAGACGGCAUUGGCAGAGCUGAAGGCAGGUCAGGAGGCAGGUCAGACCGCAUUGGCAGAGCUGAAGGCAAGUCACACCGCGAUUUCCAGCGACCUGGAGAAGAGUCAGACGGCAUUGGCAGAGCUGAAGGCAGGUCAGACGGCAUUGGCAGAGCUGAAGGCAGGUCAGGAGGCAGGUCA